CGCAAGGAGGGCGCGGCCGAAGGUGGGUUCGAUAAUUGGGGUGAAGUCGUAACAAGGUAGCCGUAUCGGAAGGUGCGGCUGGAUCACCUCCUUUCUAAGGAGA
rnacentral:rRNA from 1 species